rnacentral:rRNA from 1 species
UGAUUCCCUCAGUAACGGCGAGUGAAGCGGGAAGAGCUCAUUCUGUGAAUCUGUAUGCUCUUUUGGUAUACCGAGUUGUAGAAUAUAGAAGCACAUCAGUGCGAAUUCCGGUCUAAGUCUCUUGGAAAAGAGCAGCUAAGAGGGUGAGACUCCCGUUCUUGGCUGGAAUUCAAACUUUAGCAUGUGGUUUCGACGAGUCGAGUUGCUUGGGAUUGCAGCUCAAAGUUGGUGGUAAAUUCCAUCUAAAGCUAAAUAUCGGUGGGAGACCGAUAGCGUACAAGUACCGUGAGGGAAAGAUGCAAAGAACUUUGAAAAAAGAGUUAAAGAGUACCUGAAAUUGCUGAAAUGGAAGCGAAGGAAACCAGUGCCGUUCUGUAUCAUUCUUCCGUCCUUGCUUGCGAGGGUGGCGCUGUGAUGCAGGAUAGGCCAGCGUGGGUUUGAGCCGAAGGAAGCAGCUCUUCAGGAGGCAGCGCAAUUUCUGUGCGAUUACUGUUGAGCUUUGCUUCGGCUUGGACUGAGGCUAGUCACUUGUGCUCGUGACGCUGGCGAAAUGGUUUUCUUUACCCCGUCUUGAAACACGGACCAAGGAGUCUAACAUAUGUGCGAGUAUAUGAGUGACAAACUCACAUGCGAAAUGAAAGUAACAGUGGUUGGACCUUCUGGGCACAAUCCGCCGGCCACAAUCCUUCGGGAGAAAGGUCUGAGUGUGAGCAUACAUGUUGGGACCCGAAAGAUGGUGAACUAUGCCUGAAUAGGGUGAAGCCGC